rnacentral:rRNA from 1 species
UACGGAGGGUGCAAGCGUUAUCCGGAUUCACUGGGUUUAAAGGGUGCGUAGGCGGACAUGUAAGUCAGUGGUGAAAUCUCCGGGCUUAACCCGGAAACUGCCAUUGAUACUAUUUGUCUUGAAUACUGUGGAGGUCAGCGGAAUAUGUCAUGUAGCGGUGAAAUGCUUAGAUAUGACAUAGAACACCAAUUGCGAAGGCAGCUGGCUACACAAAUAUUGACACUGAGGCACGAAAGCGUGGGGAUCAAACAGG